rnacentral:lncRNA from 1 species
AUAGUAAUAUGGAUAAUUUCAUUAAAAAGAAGAAGCACUUAAUUAAUGAGAAAACUUGAAUUGUGAUGUUUAAAUAUUAGUCAGUGAGUAUUCUUAAGUCAGUAUUUCUUUCAGUUUUCUAGUAGUGUGGAUGAAAUGCAAAUACAGAGAAAAUGAUAUAGGAAAAAUAAAAUCUUCAUAAAGAGGCUAUUUUGAGUUGUGGAUAUUGUAGUAUUUAUUAAGUGAAAAAACGAAAAAGCUUUAAGUGAAAUACAGAUAUUGUCUGUCCAUACUGUCAAUAUGUAAAGGCAGAAAGGGCCUCCAAUAUAACACUACGAUGCUUUAAUUUUAGUCGACUUUAUGUACUACAAGGUGGCCUUGCCCAGCAAGAAUGGAGAGUGCCUGAACUAUUGCACAGACUACUGAAGUACUUGGAACCCAAACUCACCCAGGUUUACAAAAAUGUCAGAGAAAGAAUAGGAAGUGUGCUGACCUACAUAUUCAUGAUAGAUGUAUCUUUGCCAAAUACCACACC